AGUGAACGCUGGCGGUAGGCCUAACACAUGCAAGUCGAACGGCAGCACAGUAAGAGCUUGCUCUUACGGGUGGCGAGUGGCGGACGGGUGAGGAAUACAUCGGAAUCUACUUUUUCGUGGGGGAUAACGUAGGGAAACUUACGCUAAUACCGCAUACGACCUACGGGUGAAAGCGGGGGAUCUUCGGACCUUGCGCGAUUGAAUGAGCCGAUGUCGGAUUAGCUAGUUGGCGGGGUAAAGGCCCACCAAGGCGACGAUCCGUAGAUGGUCUGAGAGGGUGAGCGGGAGCAGUGGAAGUGAAAAACGGUCCAGGCGCCUACGGGUGGCAGCGGUGGGGAGUAUUGGAGAAUGAGCGCAAGCCGUAUCAACGCCUGCCGGGUGAGAAAAAAAAGCCUUCGGUUUGUAAACCCCUUUUGUUAGGAAAGAAAAGCAGCAGGCUAAUACCCCGCUGUUCUGACGGGCCCCAAAGAAUAAGCACCGACUAACUUCAUG
rnacentral:rRNA from 1 species